GGCUGAAAGAGUUCAUUUUUCUUCCAACUUUUUAUUAUUUAUUUAUUUAUUUAUUUAUUUUUGAGGUGGAGUCUCAUUCUGUCACCCAGGCUGUUGUGCAGUGGCGCGAUCUCAGCUCACUGCAACCUCCGCCUCCCAGGUUCAAGCGAUUCUCCUGCCUCAGCUUCCUGAGUAGCUGGGGUUACUGGUGUGCACCACCAUGCUCGGCUCAUUUUUGUGUUAUUAGUAGAGCCAGGGUUUCACCGUGUUGGCCAGGCUGGUCUCGAACUCCUGACCUUGGGUGAUCCACCCGUCAUAGCCUCCCAAAGUACAGGCAUGAGCCACGACGCCCGGCCUUCUUCCAACUUUUUAGAAGUGAGGAUUCAUGAAGACUUUAAGAUGUUUAUGUAAUAUUGUAUAAUAAUUUUUUAUUGUAUGACUUACUGAAUUGCUUUUGUAUAACUGAGUUUUACUUAUUUGGAAUUUGCCUUUUUAUGGAACUGGACCUGAAGCUCCAUUAGAUGACUUAUGGAACGUCUUUCUGGUCUGUCCCUGCACACAAUUUCCAUUUCAUUGACAUCCUACUGACUUGGAGGUUUCAUGCUUUCCUAAAUGUGCAUGCUUUCCUAAAUGAAGUUCCCUCUGCCUGUAUCACCUUUUGGUCUUUUGCCUGUCUGGCUAAAUCUUACUGUUCUUUCAAAAGGAAUCUUUCCAAGAAAGCUUCUCUGUCCUCCUGCAUUAGAUUAGGUAGCAUAUCUGUGUCCUGAACCCCACAGCAGCAGGCACAUGUAUCUACAACUUAUUCCACUUUGUUGGUAAUAUUGAUGUCCGUGUCUGGCUCCCUCGGACAAGGCUGUGAAUUCAUUGUAGACAGAGACAAAGCCUUGUUCACAUUUCACUCCGGUACAGAACACGGUAUUUGCAGAGUUGAUGCUUAACAUAUACAUGGGAAAAUGAAAACAUGAGUGAGUGCAGAGAUGCCAGCUGCCUCCGCAUCUUCUCCAGGCAUUGAACACCUCACAUGCUGCAAGGCAGGGUGGGGUCUCCUGUGCUGUCAUAUUUCACAGGGUGACGAUGGAUUGCAUUUUCUCAUCAGUCUCUGUUUCCUCUUGCUUUCCUCAGAUGUGCUCUGUCCUAGCGUUCGUGUAGAAGGAGAUCGCUUUAAGCACACCAAUGGAGGAACCAAGGAAAUCACAGGUUUUGACCUGAUGGAUUUGUUCAGUGUGAAGGAAAUCUUGGGGAAGAGAGAGAAUGGCGUGCAGAGUUCUUAUGUACGGAUGGGAUCCUUCCCUGUGGUGCAAAGUACUGAGUGAGUGGUCACUUCUCUUUCCAGACCUGCCCAGGGUGUCAUGGGAAAGGGCAAGAAAGGGGCCAGCAGCCUCAGUUUCAUACUUGGCACUGAGCCAGGCUUUAACCUACUCAGUGCCUGGUAAGGUUGCCCUGUGAUGAAGCAGCUGAACCACUGGACCAGGGAAUUCAACCUGUUUUUUAGCCAAUCUAUUAUCAUUGACUUCAUUGGUUCUCUGCUCCUUCUACACCCAUCUCUCCAUACACAUUUGGCAUUAGCCAUUCAUUCAUACAUGUGUUUUUCUGUCCAUUCAUGAAAUAACAAACGAGUAUGGUUUAGUAGUGCAUAGCACCUACUAAGGACCUGACACUGCAUUCAUGGCAGGUGUGGCUUUGCCAGAAUCACGGAGUGGCUUUGGCCAGUUGAGACUGAGUAUCAGUGUUGACUGGUUACUUGGCUUUACACAUUUCUGAAUGCCCUUGUGCCUCAGUUUUCUCAUGUUUUCAAUCCAAAGUGAAUGUUCCUGCCUUGCAACAUUAUUGAGAAGACAUCAUGUAAAGAUUUGUCCAGUUCCUGACACUUAUUGGGCCUCCAGUCAGGAGCUAAAGAUGAUACCAAAAUGAACACUCUAUUCUUCUUAUCACAGGCAGACAAAUCUUUUGAAAACAAAAAUGAUACUGUUACCCAAUCCAGACCCCAACAGAG
rnacentral:lncRNA from 10 species